rnacentral:rRNA from 1 species
UCCGUAGGGUGCGAGCGUUAAUCGGAAUUACUGGGCGUAAAGCGUGCGCAGGCGGUUUUGUAAGCCAGAUGUGAAAUCCCCGGGCUUAACCUGGGAAUGGCAUUUGGGACUGCAAGGCUUGAGUGCGGCAGAGGAGACUGGAAUUCCUGGUGUAGCAGUGAAAUGCGUAGAUAUCAGGAGGAAUACCGAUGGCGAAGGCAGGUCUCUGGGCUGACACUGACGCUCAUGCACGAAAGCGUGGGGAGCAAACAGG